CCGACUACUCUGAACUCCAGUUCCGGGUGAGUCUCUGGGGACCCAGACUCAUACGGGGAGAAACUGGACUGUCUGGCAGCAGGCAGA
rfam:Myotis lucifugus cont2.23547, whole genome shotgun sequence.